rnacentral:rRNA from 1 species
AUGAUUUCAUUACAGCGUAAUGGAAUUCUCCAUUCAUUCAUGUGUGUGGUUGGAGUCAGUAGAGUGAAACGUAAUGGUUUCAUUUUUGUGUUUGGUAGGAGAGAUAGAUGGAAUGGAUUUGAUUCAGCCUCAUCCCUAGAGAAUAUGGGUGUGAAUAUAUUCUCUCCGUUCCUAAAUAUAAAUCUCUGUAGAGAUUCCACUAUAGACGACAUAAGUCAAGAAUCAUCAACCGGCAGACGCAUCAAGCACAAGUCACUUGCAGAUCAAGAGAAAGCCCAUUUCAAUCUUCGUUUUCCUUUUGAAUUUUUACAUUGA